ensembl:lncRNA
GACCCUUCAAAUCCUCAUUCAACUUACUCCUCUUUAAACUGUAUCUACUUCCACAUACAUUGACAUAGAGCCACCAUUCAAACUUUAAAACGAAGACAAGACAUUCAACUAUUCAACUUGUAUUUAUCUUUUCAAUAUCUAUUAUACUUUUUCUUCAGUUCCAGUUUAAGUUUCAUGAUGUUUUUUCAGCCGUUUCAGAGUUUAUAAUGGGUGUGUAUGGGACGGAAUGUUGGGGCUAGAGUGAGACAGCUCAACUGCUAGAGUGAGAGGAGCAAAAAAUAAAUCUUAAAAUAUUUUUUAAAACUGCUGCUGUGUCCACGGUGUUUGGUCUACAGGUAUGAUUUUACCCUCAAAACGUAGCCAUCGCUGUCCUCUUUCAUCCAAUGUGUUUACUAUUGUACUAGGUGUUAUGGUUCUUUCAUAAAUGUCACCAAAGCACAGACUCCUCCCUCCAACUCCUCCAUAGACUCCAAUGUUAAAAUGGCUCAGAAAGUUCCUUUGAAAAUCAGAAGAGCAGGCUGUCUUUACACUGUCACCACGUCCAUAUAAUAAACUCCACAGGCAUGAAAACUGAGAAUUAGGUAGACUAGACAUUGCUGUCGCUCACGGUGAAAGAAUUUUGUCAAUACGACAUGUACUUUUCAUUUGGGAAGGAUUUGUUUUGGGCUGACUUUUCUGUUCAUUUUAAGCAGCAA